AAGCACUUCACUGGUUCCUCUCGGCAAACACCGAAACAUUCGCUUUUCUCCCUGCUUUCGAUCUCUUCGCUGUAGCGAUCCAGCUCAGUAGGAGCAUUCACUGCUUAGAGGAAACCAUGGAGCCUUCAUCAAAAGAGAGGAAAAUAGUUACUGUUGAAGUUCCAGAGAAAGCAUUUUUUGAUAUAUUGGUAAGAUCACCAAUAAAAUCUGUUCUUCGAAACAAGCUUGUCUCUAAAGGAGUAGCUAGUAUCAUAACAUCUACCGACUUUAUUGAGUCACAUAUGGAAAGAAGUGGUCGAUCCUAUGAACUUGUUACCUUCGCCAAUGAUUCUAAAAAAUAUGGAUAUGCAUCGGUUCUGUUGUCUGAGGAGGAUCCUGAUCGAUCAGAAUCUGUAGAUCUACUCAAUUUUGAGUUCCUCUCUACUUGCAGGGGAUUAGUGCUUUUGGUGGAUAACAGAUCAGCUGUUAAACAACAGCUUUAUGUUUCCAACCCCGCUAUCAAGAAAACAGUAGCACUGCCAAUAAUAAACGAAUCAUUCUAUAUUUUUACGGCUGGGUUAGGAUUUAAUGCUGAGGAAAAAACUUACAAAGUCCUUGUUCUUUCGACAAACAAGCGUAAUAAGAUGUAUAUAUGUAGGUUUAGACCUUCUAACAUUGAUGAGCCAAUUGAAUGGGAAGAUGUGAGCAGUCUGGCUCCAUCUAGUUAUGCAAGAAAAAAGAAUGUGUUCAUGAAAGGGGCGAUACACUGGGUUGCCUAUAAAAAGGAAGAUGAAACCCAUCAGAGAAAUAGUGUUCUGUUUUAUAAUGUAAAGACGGAGGAUUUUUCAGAAAUGAAUUUUCCUUCCAGCAUAGAAGUUACUGUCGCUUCAAAUUACUUGUUGGGUGGGGAGGAAUUUAAAGUGGAUAUUUCUACAACUGAUCAGUCCAUUCAGUUGGUGGUUGGUUCCUUUCUUCAUGACACUGGGUUCGAUAUUUGGAUUAUGAACAAAUAUGGGAAUCCAAUCUCUUGGAGCAAGAGAUCCCAUAUUUCACCUUUUACCAUACCGCGUAACACUGACUACAGAUUGAAUGAGUGCCUAUCUGAACAAACUUGGAUGGAUCGGUUGUCUAACAGACAGAUUGAUUUUGAUGAUAAAUUGGAUGAGCCCCUUGGGAUAAGAAACGGGGAAGCUGUUUGGUGGAAAACAAAAAAAGGGUUUUUGGCCUUACAUGAUGCUGCAACAAGGAACAUCAGGUAUGCCCCCAAUAUUAGGCACACUCAAGUAGAAGGGUUACAACUCUUUCCAGAUCCCAUGUUUGUUGCUAAGUACAAGGAGUCCCUUGUGUUGCUACCGGAGGUCCAUUUCCAAAUUUCUACCAACCCUCUCUCUAGACCGCUUCCUCCGCUGUUGGAUGGCCUCCCUACAGCAGCUGUGCAGAAGGAGAUUAGUGUGCUGAACCAACACAAUGAGAAACUAGUUGGUGUGUUGCAUGAUACUAGAUCUAGGGAGAUUGUUGUCUUGUGCCAUGGAUUCAAAUCCUCGAAGGUUUGAACUGUUCCAAUACUACUAUAGUUCUUGUUCUUCAUUUGCCUAUUAAGCACUUUCUUCAAAUUCUCUACUAAACUUGUUUUGUCAAGUGCCACUGGAAAAGUCAUCCAGUCCAGCGCGGCUGACAUAAGUUUUUAGAAAGUAAGUUGUCCCGGCUGUUUUAGAUCUAUGUAGUACUAGCAUGCCACCACUGUGACAUUCUGAUUUUAUCUUUACGAAUCUCUUGAGCUGCUAUGGUGUGAAUAUGAACAUCCUAAAAAAAUAAUUGAAUGAGAAGAGAAGAUGUUCAGUUAGGAUUGGCUUAUGAUCUGCACUAACCAUGUUCCUGAUUUGAAUUCAUUUCGGGCGAACAUUAUACAAAAUAAAAGUAAAGAUGAGAAGUAGUGAUAGGCAUCACUAAAGUAAAUGUAUUAACAUGAUUAAAAUAUAUUCCCUACUAAUGGUAUUGCCUAUAUAAAUCUUUUUCUUCCGCUCGCUGUAUUCCACUAAUCUGCAUUGGUACUAAGAGACUGUAGGUCUUUCAAGACACUUCCCUUCAAUUUGUUUUUAAUUCUACCUCAUCUCACUUUUAACAUCUUAACUCAUCAUGGCUUCACACAUACGGACGCAUCUGAAGGUCAACGGAAGACAUGACCAAACGACCAAGCAUACUCUCUCAUUUGAAGUUUGCUAAAUCUGCAUUUUGAUGGAGGUGUAAGAAUGAUGUCAGAUAAUUCCCUAGUAGUAGGCUACGACAACAUACCCGAUGUGAUCCCAUGAUUAGGGUUUAAAGAGGGUAAAUUGUACGCAAACCUUACCCCUACAUUGUGUGAGGUAGAGAGGUUGUUUCCAAUAGACCCUUGGAUUCCUAAGUAGUAGACUGCACCAAGGAUGUCUUGUUGAUAAGAUUUUUAGGCUGUAUUGUUUCAACAUUCUUUUCUUUUAACAAAUUUUUUGCUGAUUUUUGUUGAUUCGUGAUUGGUUAGGACCGAGGCUUUUUUGUUGUUGUUGUGGUGGUACGGUUUCUUGAUGUCAAUAUUUAGGUUCAUCUGAGGUAAACAAAUCAAGUUUGGCAAUGCCCUUGGUAAGGCACAUUGGGUUAUACCAGUAGAGCAUCAGUAUUUAGCUAGUGCUCAGCCUCGUGAAGAUUGUACAGCAUCUAGUCAUACAAAUAUAAGUACGAGCGGUAGUUUGGGAAUUACUUGUAUCAAUAUGAUGCAAGUACUUGCAAAUUUUCUUUCCACUCUUUCGAGCAAAUUGUUAUGAAGAGAUAAAACUUUAAGUUUAAGUAUCACAGCAGAUGACUGAUUCUCCAUGCUUCUUUAUUGGACUUCAACAUUUUGGUGAAUCUUGCUUCUGCUAUGGAAAAAGAAAGUAUCAGUGCAUUUCGCUUUAAUUUUCCUGGAAAUGGGUAAGCCCUUGGUAUUAAAAGCACCAUCUAUAUUGU
rnacentral:misc_RNA from 1 species